UACAGAGGUCCCAAGCGUUGUUCGGAUUCACUGGGCGUAAAGGGUGCGUAGGUGGUCAGGUAAGUCUGAUGUGAAAUCUCUGAGCUCAACUCAGAAAUGGCAUUGGAUACUAUCUGGCUAGAGGGUCGGAGGGGGGGACUGGAAUUCUCGGUGUAGCAGUGAAAUGCGUAGAUAUCGAGAGGAACACCAGUGGCGAAGGCGAGUCCCUGGACGACUCCUGACACUGAGGCACGAAAGCUAGGGGAGCAAACAGG
rnacentral:rRNA from 1 species